GCCAGAUGUCACUGUUGUAAAACAAACCCACUUGAUGACAUCCGGGUUUUUAUUCAAAUGCAGCAGCUGAUCGCCGAAAAGAACAGACUACUCGACCAUUGUCAACGUUAAAUUUGCGCUUCAGAAAAUACUAUGAAACAUUGUUGAACAUUUAAAUGUAACAUAAAUUAUUUUAUUGGUAGGUGACCCGAGGAGAGAUACAGUACAUUAUCGUGAGCUUUGGAGCGUGAUUAAAUUUGAUAAGCAAACAUUUUCAUUUGUAUUGAAAAUGGCGGAAGUAGCCACACAAAUUUCUGAAACUGGACUUCUGAUUGCAAAUGAUAAACCCGUAAAAAUGUACAUCACAGAUUAUAAUUGUAAAUUAAACAACAUCGCACAACCAUCAUUUAUUAAUGGAUGUCAAUUGAAAAGAGAAGACAACAAAGAAAACGAAGGAAAUCGUGAGGUGAGUGUGCGCCAUGUGCCAUUGUUUAUGUUUUGAUAAAAUAUUGAUAAUCAAGUGAAACACCUGUCAUUCACACAGGUAUGAUUCAGGUAAGUGUACUAUAUAUCGACAAAAUUGAUUCAUUAUGUAAAUUUAGUAUAUAAUUUAGGGAAAAGGGAUAUAUUUUGGAGAACUCUACUCCUGUGUGGAUAGAUUGAGAACAUUGGAAGUUUUAAUUUGAUGAAAAUAUUUUUAAUCCAGAGAAAAAAUGAAGAGGUCACUCCUUAUUAUUUUGGGAGCAGAUUUUGAAAAUACUAGACUUGAAUUGAGUUGAUACUGUUAAUGCAGAUUUUUCUUAUUAAUUAUAAGGUUAACUCGUUAGGUGCGUUUAAUAAUUACUUAUCUGUAUAUAUUUUUAUGCCUAACUCCACAGCUUUUGUAAUGAUGUUGGAAGUAUGCAACACAUGUCCUUUAAAGCAUUAAGAAUUAUUUUUUCACAGUGUUUUCAAAAAACAAAUAAUUCAAAACAUACAUGUAUAUCCAAAUAAGAGUACAUUUAUAAACUAAGGGGAUGUGGAAAGAUUGAUAUACAUGUAUGUAGCGACUUAAUGACAACCCCACCCCAAAAUUAGUUGCUAUCGUUUGAUGAGGGAGAUUUUGUCUAUGAAUCAUAUAUAGUCGCAAGAGUUCAAAUCAUGUCAUGUAUAACCAUAUUAGAGGUUGGUGUCAGAAUUCUCAAAAAAUAUUAAAUUUUUUUAAAUUUCUCCAAUGACAAUAUUUAUUUCUUGAAGACAUAAUUUUGGACCUAAAUCCCAAUCUGCCGUAUUUUAAAGUCAUUAACCUUUCAGUUAAGGUAAUUUCUGGAAAUAUGAUUAUUUCUUGACCCUUGAUUUGGAUGCUCUUUCAAAACAAUGUUUCUCUGUUUUAACUGGGUUAGUUUUCCCAAUUGCAAGAUUCAUAUACUUAACUAUAAUACAGUUUUUUCUCAUUAUUGAAGGUUUUUGGAUGACUUGUUUGUUUACUUCUUUGUAGGCUAGUCUUCAAUUGGGUAGUUUGUUAGUUGGCAAAUAUACCAGUGAAAAAGUUUUUGAUUUCAUUGUAUUUUAAAUGGGUGAAGAGCAUUUUGGACCUUCGGCCAAACAUAACAUAUCUGACUUUAGGGUAGAAAAAUAAGUGGGAAGGGUUUUUAUUUUUGUUUGUUAUUUUUUAACCUUCAAAAUUAUAAUAACUUUGUGUUUCUUCUCCAAUUAAAACAAACACCUUUUUUCUCUAAUUUAUCCAACAGCUAUGAUCAAAAGCGAAUAAUGACAAAAUGUGUUAUGCCUAAAAUAUGUGCACACAAUGACUUUUGUUGCCUGUACCAAAUACCUGAAUUUAAAUAAGACAUGUAGGCAAUAAUGUAAAAUGCAGAGUUUAAUUAUAAAAUUUCAAGUAGAAAGUUAUUAACUUUUUAAUCUAACUUUUCAUUGUGUACUACCUAAUGCAUGAGUGAGUAGAUUUAUUAAUAUUUUUUGAAGUGAAAAUAUGAUUAUUUAAAGUUUAAAGGUUAUAGUUUUAAACAUAUAUUAGUGGGUGUGCAGUCUUUAUCCUAAUAGACACAAUAAUAUGUAGCAGUAGUUUUCAUCGUCUGUUUCGGAAAACAAUUUCCUACGAUGUACAAAUUAAUGUAUUUUAAAGUUUUUCCUCAAAAGUCAACAACUGUUAGCAAUGGGUUGAUUAAACGUGGAAUGGGCAUAAGUUUUAAAAGAAUUCUGGCACAAAAUUGUUGCCAAGUUAUGUUUUAAUUAAAGAUAUUUAACUACAUGUACAUGUAUAUCAUGUACAUACAUAUCAAAUUCAAUUAAAUUGAAGUACAGGGUCUGAUUUAACCAUUGUCAAAUAACAAUACUCCCUUUUUCAUACUGUUUUGAAAAAAAGAUGAUCUCAGACAUUUUCACCAAAUAAAUGUGCUUUCUGUUCUGAAAAUAAUUGGCUCAGGCAAUAAGUUUUUCACAGAAUCAACAGUGCAAAUGUUAAUUUUCUACAAUUCUUUGAAAUACAAUGCUUCCGACAAAUCAAUUAAGAUAUAGCGCACAGAACAAGUGCUUCCUGAUCCUAAGAUUCAACAUUGAUAUGUAUGUACAGGAUAAAUUUGUCAGAGUGAGGCCACACUUAAAAAUAUUUUGGUUUGCCCAAAACCUACCCAAAGGUAGAGAACUUGGGUAGCCUUUUUGGUAGGUAGGCAUUUUUUUUUAAGCAAAGAGACAUUGAAAUUUUUUUAGUCUUCAUACAUGUAUCUGAUAAAAAAAAAAAACACUUUUUCACAUCAGGACAAUUACAGAGUAGGGAGCUAUUUUCUGUGUAGGUGGCUAGGGCAAACAAACAUAUACUGUUUAAUGGCCUCUGUCUAUCACUUUAAAAAAGUCUUUUUUUUAAAAUGGUUAAAAUUGUAGAUUUUUGGUCAGGAUAAAAAUGUAUUUACAAAAUGAACAUCAUAAAACACGUACUACACCCACAUAAAAAAUAUAUUUAUUUGUAGUUGAAGUUGAUAUAUUUAUUUUCAACAUAUGAUUUUCAGGCUUCUGUUGUAUGAUUCAGUUUUAUG
rnacentral:lncRNA from 1 species